CGAAUAUUGUAGAAAUUAGGUGCAUUUAUGCUACUAUAAAUGCUUAAAAGGGAAAUCGGUGAAAUUCCGAUACGGUCCCGCCGCUGUAAUGUGGAGUAAGGCGCAAAAAGUCACUAGCAAUGCUGGGAAGACGCGUACUUAUGUUGAAGCUAAGUCAGAAGACCUGCCUAUUUUCAGAUGCUGUU
rnacentral:ncRNA from 2 species